GACAGAGGGUGCAAACGUUGUUCGGAAUUACUGGGCGUAAAGCGCGUGUAGGCGGCAAGGCAAGUCGGAUGUGAAAGCCCACGGCUCAACCGUGGAAGUGCACCCGAAACUGCCUCGCUAGAGUCUCGGAGAGGAAGGUGGAAUGCUUGGUGUAGAGGUGAAAUUCGUAGAUAUCAAGCGGAACACCCGUGGCGAAGGCGGCUCUCUGGGACGGUACUGACGCUGAGACGCGAAAGCGUGGGGAGCAAACAGG
rnacentral:rRNA from 1 species